GACGAACGCUGGCGGCGUGCUUAACACAUGCAAGUCGAACGGAAAGGCCUCUUUCGGGGGGUACUCGAGUGGCGAACGGGUGAGUAACGCGUGAGUAACCUGCCCUUGACUUUGGGAUAACUUCAGGAAACUGGGGCUAAUACCGGAUAGGAGCUCCUGCUGCAUGGUGGGGGUUGGAAAGUUUCGGCGGUUGGGGAUGGACUCGCGGCUUAUCAGCUUGUUGGUGGGGUAGUGGCUUACCAAGGCUUUGACGGGUAGCCGGCCUAAGAGGGUGACCGGCCACAUUGGGACUGAGAUACGGCCCAGACUCCGACGGGAGGCAGCAGUGGGGAAGAUUGCACAAUGGGUGGAAGCCUGAUGCAGCAACGCCGUGUGCGGGAUGACGGCCUUCGGGUUGUAAACCGCUUUCGCUCAUGACGAAGCUUUGUGUGACGGUAGUGGGUAAAGAAGCACCGGCUAACUACGUG
rnacentral:rRNA from 1 species